AGCGUAAUACAUGCAGUCGAACGGGAAUUAUAGCAAUAUGAUGUCUUAGUGGCGAACGGGUGAGUAACGCGUUGGUGACCUGCCCCGAAGUGCGGGAUAACAGCUCGAAAGGGCUGCUAAUACCUCAUGUGGUCCUAAGGGUUAGAGACCUCAGGACUAAAGGAGCAAUCCGCUUCGGGAGGGGCCUGCGUCCCAUCAGCUUGUUGGUAGGGUAAUGGCCUACCAAGGCGACGACGGGUAGGGGACCUGAGAGGGUGACCCCCCACACUGGCACUGAAACACGGGCCAGACACCUACGGGUGGCAGCAGUAGGGAAUAUUGCACAAUGGGCGAAAGCCUGAUGCAGCAACGCCGCGUGCGCGAUGAAGGCCUUCGGGUCGUAAAGCGCUUUUCGGGGAGAUGAGGAAGGACAGUAUCCCCAGAAUAAGGCUCGGCUAACUACGUGCCAGCAGCCGCGGUAAAACGUAGGAGCCUAGCGUUAUCCGAAUUUACUGGGCGUAAAGCGCGUGCAGGCGGUUCGAUAAGUUGGAUGUGAAAUCUCCUGGCUCAACUGGGAGAGGUCGUUCAAAACUAUCGGACUAGAGGAUGGUAGAGGGAGGUGGAAUUCCCGGUGUAGUGGUGAAAUGCGUAGAUAUCGGGAGGAACACCAGUGGCGAAAGCGGCCUCCUGGGCCAUUCCUGACGCUCAGACGCGAAAGCUAGGGGAGCAAACGGGAUUAGAAACCCCGGUAGUCCUAGCAGUAAACGAUGUGGACUUGGCGUUGGUGGGGUAAAAUCCAUCAGUGCCGGAGCUAACGCGGUAAGUCCACCGCCUGGGGACUACGGCCGCAAGGUUA
rnacentral:rRNA from 1 species